rnacentral:rRNA from 1 species
UACGUAGGGUGCGAGCGUUAAUCGGAAUUACUGGGCGUAAAGCGUGCGCAGGCGGUUCGUUGUGUCGGCGGUGAAAGCCCCGGGCUCAACCUGGGAAUGGCCGUUGAAACUGGCGAACUGGAGUGUGGCAGGAGGGGGUGGAAUUCCGCGUGUAGCAGUGAAAUGCGUAGAGAUGCGGAGGAACACCGAUGGCGAAGGCAGCCCCCUGGGCUAACACUGACGCUCAGGCACGAAAGCGUGGGGAGCAAACAGG